GAGUCUAGCAUGUGCGCGAGUCAUUGGGAUGAACUAAACCUAAAGGCGCAAUGAAAGUGAAGGUCCGCCCCGCGCGGACCGAGGGAGGAUGGGCCGCGUCACGAUGCGGCCCCGCACUCCCGGGGCGUCUCGCUCUCAUCGCGAGAAGAGGCGCACCCAGAGCGUACACGCUGGGACCCGAAAGAUGGUGAACUAUGCCUGGUCAGGACGAAGUCAGGGGAAACCCUGAUGGAGGUCCGUAGCGAUUCUGACGUGCAAAUCGAUCGUCGGAACUGGGUAUAGGGGCGAAAGACUAAUCGAACCAUCUAGUAGCUGGUUCCCUCCGAAGUUUCCCUCAGGAUAGCUGGCGCUCGCUUUGCGAGUCUCAUCCGGUAAAGCGAAUGAUUAGAGGCAUUGGGGUCGAAACGGCCUCAACCUAUUCUCAAACUUUAAAUGGGUGAGAUCUCCGGCUUGCUCGAACGUGAAGCCGCGAGAUAUAUUUCAAGGAUCAGAGUGCCAAGUGGGCCACUUUUGGUAAGCAGAACUGGCGCUGUGGGAUGAACCAAACGCAGAGUUAAAGCGCCUAAAUCGACGCUUAUGGGAUACCAUGAAAGGCGUUGGUAACUUAAGACAGCAGGACGGUGGCCAUGGAAGUCGGA
rnacentral:rRNA from 1 species